rnacentral:rRNA from 1 species
GGGUUGUGAGGUUAAGCGACUAAGCGUACACGGUGGAUGCCCUGGCAGUCAGAGGCGAUGAAGGACGUGCUAAUCUGCGAAAAGCGUCGGUAAGGUGAUAUGAACCGUUAUAACCGGCGAUGUCCGAAUGGGGAAACCCAGUGCAAUUCGUUGCACUAUCGUUAACUGAAUACAUAGGUUAACGAGGCGAACCGGGGGAACUGAAACAUCUAAGUACCCCGAGGAAAAGAAAUCAACCGAGAUUCCCCCAGUAGCGGCGAGCGAACGGGGAGCAGCCCAGAGUCUGAAUCAGCUUGUGUGUUAGUGGAACGGUCUGGAAAGUCCGACGGUACAGGGUGAUAGUCCCGUACACCAAAAUGCACAGGCUGUGAACUCGAAGAGUAGGGCGGGACACGUGGUAUCCUGUCUGAAUAUGGGGGGACCAUCCUCCAAGGCUAAAUACUCCUGACUGACCGAUAGUGAACCAGUACCGUGAGGGAAAGGCGAAAAGAACCCCGGCGAGGGGAGUGAAAAAGAACCUGAAACCGUGUACGUACAAGCAGUGGGAGCACCUUCGGGUGUGACUGCGUACCUUUUGUAUAAUGGGUCAGCGACUUAUAUUCUGUAGCAAGGUUAACCGUAUAGGGGAGCCGCAGGGAAACCGAGUCUUAACUGGGCGUUAAGUUGCAGGGUAUAGACCCGAAACCCGGUGAUCUAGCCAUGGGCAGGUUGAAGGUUGGGUAACACUAACUGGAGGACCGAACCGACUAAUGUUGAAAAAUUAGCGGAUGACUUGUGGCUGGGGGUGAAAGGCCAAUCAAACCGGGAGAUAGCUGGUUCUCCCCGAAAGCUAUUUAGGUAGCGCCUCGUGAACUCAUCUUCGGGGGUAGAGCACUGUUUCGGCUAGGGGGUCAUCCCGACUUACCAACCCGAUGCAAACUACGAAUACCGAAGAAUGUUAUCACGGGAGACACACGGCGGGUGCUAACGUCCGUCGUGAAGAGGGAAACAACCCAGACCGCCAGCUAAGGUCCCAAAGUCAUGGUUAAGUGGGAAACGAUGUGGGAAGGCACAGACAGCCAGGAUGUUGGCUUAGAAGCAGCCAUCAUUUAAAGAAAGCGUAAUAGCUCACUGGUCGAGUCGGCCUGCGCGGAAGAUGUAACGGGGCUAAACCAUGCACCGAAGCUGCGGCAGCGACACUAUGUGUUGUUGGGUAGGGGAGCGUUCUGUAAGCCUGCGAAGGUGACCUGUGAGGGUUGCUGGAGGUAUCAGAAGUGCGAAUGCUGACAUAAGUAACGAUAAAGCGGGUGAAAAGCCCGCUCGCCGGAAGACCAAGGGUUCCUGUCCAACGUUAAUCGGGGCAGGGUGAGUCGACCCCUAAGGCGAGGCCGAAAGGCGUAGUCGAUGGGAAACAGGUUAAUAUUCCUGUACUUGGUGUUACUGCGAAGGGGGGACGGAGAAGGCUAUGUUAGCCGGGCGACGGUUGUCCCGGUUUAAGCAUGUAGGCUGAUUGUCCAGGCAAAUCCGGAUAAUCAAGGCUGAGGUGUGAUGACGAGGCACUACGGUGCUGAAGUAACAAAUGCCCUGCUUCCAGGAAAAGCCUCUAAGCAUCAGGUAACAUCAAAUCGUACCCCAAACCGACACAGGUGGUCAGGUAGAGAAUACCAAGGCGCUUGAGAGAACUCGGGUGAAGGAACUAGGCAAAAUGGUGCCGUAACUUCGGGAGAAGGCACGCUGGUGUGUAGGUGAAGUCCCUGCGGAUGGAGCUGAGACCAGUCGAAGAUACCAGCUGGCUGCAACUGUUUAUUAAAAACACAGCACUGUGCAAACACGAAAGUGGACGUAUACGGUGUGACGCCUGCCCGGUGCCGGAAGGUUAAUUGAUGGGGUUAUCCGUAAGGAGAAGCUCUUGAUCGAAGCCCCGGUAAACGGCGGCCGUAACUAUAACGGUCCUAAGGUAGCGAAAUUCCUUGUCGGGUAAGUUCCGACCUGCACGAAUGGCGUAAUGAUGGCCAGGCUGUCUCCACCCGAGACUCAGUGAAAUUGAACUCGCUGUGAAGAUGCAGUGUACCCGCGGCAAGACGGAAAGACCCCGUGAACCUUUACUAUAGCUUGACACUGAACAUUGAGCCUUGAUGUGUAGGAUAGGUGGGAGGCUUUGAAGCGUGGACGCCAGUCUGCGUGGAGCCAACCUUGAAAUACCACCCUUUAAUGUUUGAUGUUCUAACGUUGGCCCCUUACCGGGGUUGCGGACAGUGUCUGGUGGGUAGUUUGACUGGGGCGGUCUCCUCCCAAAGCGUAACGGAGGAGCACGAAGGUUAGCUAAUCCUGGUCGGACAUCAGGAGGUUAGUGCAAUGGCAUAAGCUAGCUUGACUGCGAGCGUGACGGCGCGAGCAGGUGCGAAAGCAGGUCAUAGUGAUCCGGUGGUUCUGAAUGGAAGGGCCAUCGCUCAACGGAUAAAAGGUACUCCGGGGAUAACAGGCUGAUACCGCCCAAGAGUUCAUAUCGACGGCGGUGUUUGGCACCUCGAUGUCGGCUCAUCACAUCCUGGGGCUGAAGUAGGUCCCAAGGGUAUGGCUGUUCGCCAUUUAAAGUGGUACGCGAGCUGGGUUUAGAACGUCGUGAGACAGUUCGGUCCCUAUCUGCCGUGGGCGCUGGAGAAUUGAGGGGGGCUGCUCCUAGUACGAGAGGACCGGAGUGGACGCAUCACUGGUGUUCGGGUUGUCAUGCCAAUGGCACUGCCCGGUAGCUAAAUGCGGAAGAGAUAAGUGCUGAAAGCAUCUAAGCACGAAACUUGCCCCGAGAUGAGUUCUCCCUGAGACUUUAAGUCUCCUGAAGGAACGUU